rnacentral:rRNA from 1 species
UACGUAGGUGGCAAGCGUUGUCCGGAUUUACUGGGCGUAAAGGGCGUGCAGGCGGUCUGUUAAGUGCAGGGUGAAAGCUCCCGGCUCAACUGGGAGAGGUCCUUGCAUACUGGCGGACUUGAGGGGGGUAGAGGAAAGUGGAAUUCCCGGUGUAGUGGUGAUAUGCGUAGAUAUCGGGAGGAACACCAGUGGCGAAGGCGGCACUCUGGGUUGUACCUGACGCUGAUGUGCGAAGGCUAGGGGAGCGAACAGG